UUCAAGUAAUCCAGGAUAGGCUGUUUCCAUCCGCGAGGCCUAUUCUUGAUUACUUGUUUC
rnacentral:pre_miRNA from 1 species